GGAUGAACGCUGGCGGCGUGCCUAAUACAUGCAAGUCGAGCGAACGGACGAGAAGCUUGCUUCUCUGAUGUUAGCGGCGGACGGGUGAGUAACACGUGGAUAACCUACCUAUAAGACUGGGAUAACUUCGGGAAACCGGAGCUAAUACCGGAUGAUAUUUUGAACCGCAUGGUUCAAAAGUGAAAGACGGUCUUGCUGUCACUUAUAGAUGGAUCCGCGCUGCAUUAGCUAGUUGGUAAGGUAACGGCUUACCAAGGCAACGAUGCAUAGCCGACCUGAGAGGGUGAUCGGCCACACUGGAACUGAGACACGGUCCAGACUCCUACGGGAGGCAGCAGUAGGGAAUCUUCCGCAAUGGGCGAAAGCCUGACGGAGCAACGCCGCGUGAGUGAUGAAGGUCUUCGGAUCGUAAAACUCUGUUAUUAGGGAAGAACAUAUGUGUAAGUAACUGUGCGCAUCUUGACGGUACCUAAUCAGAAAGCCACGACUAACUACGUG
rnacentral:rRNA from 1 species